CACAGAAAACCCUAUUCUUUUCCUGGGCUACACCAGAUAUUAGUCAGAAACUAUCAACUGAGCAUCAAAAGGUGAUAAGAAGAAUGGCACUAUAGAGACAAACAUGCCCUGUGGGUUAGUUAUGGGUGAGAGUCACCUCACCUGACUUGACAUAUCUGCAGAUUAAAGUUCAGACAAUGAACUAGUCACCAUGCUCUGCCUUUGGGGGCCUUCCCCAAAGGAGAAGUCAUCUGACCUUUCUAGAGCAGGAUCAUGUAUUCUUUGGAGGUGCCUGUUUCCCUUCUUUGGACUAAUUGGGAGUCUCAGUGGCACUCUGCAGGCCGUAGAUGCUUCAGGACAAUCAGACCUGGAUGCAGCUGUGAUGCAAGUGGGAGUGGUGUGCAAGAAGAAACCAGUUCAUCAAAUGGACCAGAACCAGCUGUUGGGAUGAUCGGCUCAUCUACUAUAAACCUACAUCUGGCCAAGUGGGAAAAAUGACUGCUGCUUCCAUAAAAAGUUCUAUUGAAUUGUAAAUAAAUUAAAAAUAAAAGCGGAAAAAAUUA